AUUGAACGCUGGCGGCAGGCCUAACACAUGCAAGUCGAGCGGAUGAGAGGAGCUUGCUUCUCGAUUCAGCGGCGGACGGGUGAGUAAUGCCUAGGAAUCUGCCUGAUAGUGGGGGACAACGUUUCGAAAGGAACGCUAAUACCGCAUACGUCCUACGGGAGAAAGCAGGGGACCUUCGGGCCUUGCGCUAUCAGAUGAGCCUAGGUCGGAUUAGCUAGUUGGUGAGGUAAUGGCUCACCAAGGCGACGAUCCGUAACUGGUCUGAGAGGAUGAUCAGUCACACUGGAACUGAGACACGGUCCAGACUUCUACGGGAGGCAGCAGUGGGGAAUAUUGGACAAUGGGCGAAAGCCUGAUCCAGCCAUGCCGCGUGUGUGAAGAAGGUCUUCGGAUUGUAAAGCACUUUAAGUUGGGAGGAAGGGUUGUAGAUUAAUACUCUGCAAUUUUGACGUUACCGACAGAAUAAGCACCGGCUAACUCUGUGCCAGCCGCCGCCGUAAUAC
rnacentral:rRNA from 1 species